ACCGAUCAACGCCGCUUUUCAGCCUGUAUCCUGCGGAUAACAAAUAUAUCCGAUCGACGCCUUUCGGGCCAUCACUUCCGAGGGAUUUCCAGACGAAGACCCGGCGACAGGCCGUCUCCUUCGCGGUGUCGGCAGAAUUUUUUUGGAGACGAAGCUACUUGCUUCUGUGACGAUGACAUCGGACCUCUGGCUUCUAUGCUUUAAAAAGGUUGUCAGGAUGAAGUUUUUGGGACACUCCUUUGAACAGGUCCGAAUGAGCGGGGAUCUUCCUGGGGAACCCGGGAGGCCACUGGGGUGGCUGACUUCGCUAGGCGCAAUCGGGGAUGGGUCUGCCGUCUUUUUCGGGUGGAGGCUCCCCUUUUGGGCGUCCGGGAGAGGCGCUCCGCCUUCGUACCUACACACAGGUCGGGUCGAAAGAGCUCGGCCCGACCCCUCCGACGAUCAAGUUAGUGAAUAGUCAUAGGGGGUUUUUGUUGUCUCCUCCUCCUUUUCCUCGGAGCGCGAGGGUUUUUAUAGUGAAGGUUACCGUUGUCUGAUGUGCCAGCUUGCAGGGAGCAGGAUCGUACUCCUGAUAACGUCUGACAUCGACGUUGGCGUAGCAUGAAGGACCGAACCUGAGCAGGAUGUUAAUGUGCCUCAGUCGGCAUUUCGAUCCGUGUUGACCAGGUGCUGUCAGGUUAACAGAGGCGCGAGGCGUCAUCUGGGACAGCUGACGUCAACCCGAGUCUUAUCGCCAUUAUUGUCCUCAUCAGAUAGCAAAGUCUCGAGGGUGAUCUUGAUUAUGAUUAUUUCUGGACGAACAAAUCGACUGUGAAAAAGUGAUGCUUUCAAGAGGUUUGCAGGUCUGACUUUUGAGAUGCACAGAUUUGUGAGCUAAAUCCAUGAAGUUGCGAAGCAAAUCCGUAUGAUAUCGUAGAAUUUGGACUGAACACAAAGUUUAUCUUAAUCAUUUUCACUAAAGGAACCAAAUACUUAUAAGCCUCUACUAUUAUCCUUAUUCUCGUAUGCGGCUUAUCUCGAAAAGAUAAAAUUGUGUAGAUUUAUUUAAAACAGAUAAUUUCUUACGAGUGUUUGCACUCUUGCAGGGGGGGUAAAACAUUGACAGUAUUUGCAGAAAAGUCAUUCUAAUUAAUGCUGCAGCUAUCUGCAUUCAAUAUCGUGCAAGGAAUAGUCAUUGUUUCUCUGUACAUGGAUUACAUCAUUUCAAUUAAAAUCUCUGACUAUUACCGUUUGA